rnacentral:ncRNA from 1 species
UGAAAUACGUUGAGAAGGAAUAGUACGGUUUUCCGAGCGAACAGAGAGCUGUUGGGCGGUGUGAAACAGCCGCGGGGGAAAUCGGAACUCGCCUUGGAGUUGCCCGCUGAACCCCAAAGACGGUUUUUGCACAACCUCUUUAAGUAGGCGGAGCCGGAGCCUGACCGUUAUCAUCAGGAGGAUGCCAGGUUUGUCCGUUUUGGCAAACCCGUAUCCGUAGAGGGCAUGCCAAAGGGUGGCGUGAAUUCGGAGUGGUACCGCGUAAGAUGUCAAAGUCUUUCGUCUCUGUU